AUUCAGCUGACAGGUCCUAAAUAGGACAAAACGCACGUCCUAGAU
rnacentral:hammerhead_ribozyme from 1 species